CCUCGCCCGAAGGACCUGAGAGCUGAGUGGGGUGGUCCUGGAGGAUUCUCGGCUGGGGCUCCCCUGGCGGCAGGGCCGCGUGGUCUCGGAGGAUGUGGCCUGUGCUUCUCCCAGGAGGAGUGGCCCGGCGCCUGCUGCGUGGAGGUUCACCCUCGAGGAAGACCUCAUGGAUGCAGAGAUGGGGGAAGGCCUUCCACCCAAGAGGCUUCUUCAUUUAGCAGCAGAGUUCGCGGUAGAGAGGCCUAUGAGUGCAGCCGAUGUGAGAAAACCUUCAGUCAAGGGCCUCACCUCGUAAAGCAUCACGAAGUUCAUGCUGGGGAAAUGCCUUAAGUGUGCAGGGAACGUGCUCUCUCCCCGUUCAGCGGAACAGGACGCGUGCCAGAGACGAGAUGAGGGAGCCUCUGUGAGGAUGCCCUUAGCUGGAAGUAGAGCUUCGUAGGGUCAAACGGGAUAUUCCUGAUGAGUGCUAGGUGUGUGGGGAGCUUUCGGGUGCUCUCACCUGCCCCGGGGCCCUUGCCAGAGUUCUCUCGCUGGCAGGGCCCAUGACAGAAGCCAUCUCACCACUCUGCCAGCUGGGAGGGACUCGUCACCUGUGCUCGUUCCAGUCCCUGGAGGGACCCAUGAGCAGCCUGGGCCUGUUGAUGGGCCUCGUCUCCUUCCUGACUAGUGAGGGCGUGGGUGUGACCCAGCAUUGGCUAGGAGGACCUCAGCUGGGUCCUUUCUGUGGCUCUCAGGGAUGGUUUACCCUUUUUCAGGGACCUUGUUGGCCUCAUGUGACUCUCGAUGGAUUUGUCCAGCUUCCAAGUCAGACUUCCAAGGGAACUGCCUGCCUCCCAUUAGUCUGCUGGGUGUGGAAAUAAAGGCCUUGUAACUGAA